GAGUUUGAUCCUGGCUCAGAUUGAACGCUGGCGGAAUGCUUUACACAUGCAAGUCGAGCGGCAGCGCGGGGCAACCUGGCGGCGAGCGGCGAACGGGUGAGUAAUGCAUCGGAACAUGUCCAAGUCGUGGGGGAUAGCCCGGCGAAAAGCCGGAUUAAUACCGCAUGUGCCCGAGGGGGGAAAGUGGGGGACCGCAAGGCCUCACGCGAUUGGGUUGGCCGAUGUCCGAUUAGCUAGUUGGCGGGGUAAGAGCCCACCAAGGCGAUGAUCGGUAGCUGGUCUGAGAGGAUGAUCAGCCACACUGGGACUGAGACACGGCCCAGACUCCUACGGGAGGCAGCAGUGGGGAAUUUUGGACAAUGGGGGCAACCCUGAUCCAGCCAUUCCGCGUGAGUGAAGAAGGCCUUCGGUUGUAAG
rnacentral:rRNA from 1 species